rnacentral:rRNA from 1 species
AUACGGAGGGCGCAAGCGUUGUUCGGAAUCAUUGGGCGUAAAGCGCGUGUAGGCGGCUUGGCAAGUCGGACGUGAAAGCCCGGGGCUCAACCCCGGAACGGCGCCCGAAACUGCCUGGCUAGAGUCCCGGAGAGGAGGGCGGAAUUCCCGGUGUAGAGGUGAAAUUCGUAGAUAUCGGGAGGAACACCAGCGACGAAGGCGGCCCUCUGGACGGUGACUGACGCUGAGACGCGAAAGCGUGGGGAGCAAACAGGAUUAGAAACCCCAGUAGUCC